UUUCUCUUGUCCGUGAUUCGUACAUCUUGAGAUUUAUGGCUUCUGGGUGUUCGAAAUUUGGGUCCUUUUAGUGUAAUGACAAGUUGGUGUUAGAAAAACGCGACUAGAAUCUCGCUUCGGUUCAACCACAGGAUCGGAACAAGUCUUUGUCAAUGGGGCCUAGAUGGAAAGGAAAGGGUGCAGAGGUCAGAGCACAAGCAGAUCCAAUGUCCGAGAUCGUAUCGCGGCUCAAGUCAUCUUUGAUUGAGUCAAAUGCUCAUGGGUCGCUGUCAGGUUGCUCUGUUCUUCUUGCAGUAGAGGCAGAUCAAAGUGAUCUUCUAAAUCGGGCAUGUUUUGGCCGACCGGUAGUCACAGUUGAGAAGGACAAGCAGUGGUUUCAAUUGAGUAUGGAGGAAGCCUUUUACCUUUGCUAUACCCUCAAAUGCCUCGACAUUCACGGUGGAAAUAAUUGUCGAAAAACCUAUGAAGAGUUAUGGAAAUACAUGACGGAUAAGAAAACUACAUUCCCCCAAUUUUUCAAAGCUUAUUCUCAUCUUCGGACGAAAAAUUGGGUGGUCAGGUCGGGAUUGCAGUAUGGCGUAGAAUUUGUUGCGUACCGGCACCAUCCGUCUCUUGUCCAUUCUGAAUAUGCUGUGCUCGUUUUGACAGAAGGGGAUGGUGGCGAGAAUGGGCGAUUGAGGGUAUGGUCAGAUGUUCAUUGUACGGUCCGUCUUUGCGGGAGUGUAGCGAAAGCGGUCUUGGUGCUUUACAUCAAGUGCGGUCAUGGCAAUGCAUCUCCUUCAUGUGUGACUCUGUACUCUGUGGAAGAGCGAGUCAUAGCAAGAUGGAGCCCAAAAGAUUGCCGUGAAGAUCAUUCCAUCGCGGUUAAUGGCAAUUGACCGAGCAGAGAAUUUCAUUUUUCUUCCUUUUUGUUUCUUGUUUUUUGGGAUAUAAAGACAAUGGUAAAGACCAUGCGAACCAUUUUGUGAUUAUUAAGGAAGACUGAAAUUUUUUCACAGCUUCGAUUCGUUCAGUUGCUCCUCACACUCCACAGUUCAGACUUCAAUCUUCUCAACUUUGCUUCGGAAACUCUUGGACGGCUGCCUCCAAAGGUUGUUGGGAAUGGUUUUCUUGUUCUGGUCUUGACCUUCUGCAGAACAACAGAAGCAAUGCGUUAACAAGUCUGGUCCUUUCAACUAUGAUGCUAAGUAUAAAGGGGCUACGGCGAAGGCUGUGUCGAUCCUCAAGGAGGAUGAUGAACUCUACAAGGAUGCGUUCUUCCUCAACCAUGCUCAUGUUUUAGUUGGUUCUGGUCGUGAUUCCUAUGAAAAGGGCAAGAAUGCUCUUCAGAGUUGGAGGCAUUUUGGGUUGAACUGGGCAUUUGUUGAUUCCAAGACUCAAGUUCAGAAGGGGGUGAAGUUUUGUGUUUGUGUCAAGGAGUUUCUGCCUUGGCUUGUGAUGCCUCUUGAAGUGGUCUUUGUAAAUGAAAGCCAGAAGUCUAAGAAGGGUGUGGCUUCCUUUCGUUUCGGCAGCGGUACACUUAAAGGUCACCGGCUGGUUGGCUGGGGAAGAGAGCUUUUCGAUGGAGCUGGACGAGAACAAUCAAGUGUGGUAUGAAAUACUCUCCUUCUCAAAGCCUGCCCACUUUCUGUCUUUCAUUGGUUACCCGUAUGUACAACUCAGGCAGAAGUACUUUGCUCAUCAAUCUAGUAAUGCUGUCCUGAAACAUUUAAGAGCUUCUUAGCUACCUGUACUUAAUGUUGGCAAGUUAUGUAAAAGUGUGACAUGAUUAUGUCCUCGUGACAUAUUUUUGCUAAAUCAACGUCAGCCAUAGAUGCAAAAUGGGAUGCAAUAUGUUCUCACGAUA